rnacentral:lncRNA from 1 species
GCUGAGCCACUAUAUUCGAAUACAUCAAAUAAUCCAUAUUUUAAGUUUUAAAUACGCGAAAACUUCGUUUUCAUUAUCAACAUUGCCGCCAAAACCCGAAGACGCGUACAGCCUGCACCUUCCUUUUUUUCUCGCUGCCUCCUUUCCUUUCUUCUCCGCUGAAUGUUCGGUAAUUGAUUGAUUGACUGUUUUUCCUUUUCUUUAUCAAUCAAGAACAUAACCCAAACCACGGCUUCAUACAUUCACGUAUCAAUCUAUAUAUAUCAUCUCAUAUCCUUCUUUGACACCGCAACACAUCAUCUCUUCGACACUCUCACACCACACAACACAUCUCAAACACCCUCCCCGUUUCGUAUUAUCAAGCUUCGCCGUAGAUCAGUUUCGCCGCCGGAACUCGCCGGAGAACCAUCAAGCAUUCACGUUCGUCGUCCACCCUUGUUCGGUAUACGUUCCUCAGAACUCACACACGCUCUGUUGUCGAUAACCCGUCUGCCGGAGUUCUGCCGGAGCAUCGGAACCGCUGGAGAUCGGAGAACAAACCGGAAACCCACCAACAUUAUUCGUUCAUGUUCAUGUCGGAUAAGAUGAUAAGAACACGAGCACGUCGUCGGACAUUCGCCGGAGAUCGGAGCCAACCGAAGUCACGACGAGGACCACCUCCGUCUUCGUUCGGAUAACUGUUUCGUUCAUUUG